AGUUGGAUUUCUGUUAAUAAUUUAUAUAAAAUAUUUUGAUGAAUAUUUAUAUAAUAUUAACAUAAUUCAUAUUACUAUUUUUUUUUUUAGUAUAUGAAAUUUUACUUUGAGAAAAUUAGAGUGCUUAAAGCAGGCUUAUGCCUUGAAUACUCCAGCAUGGAAUAAUAUUAAAGAUUUUUAUCUUUUUUAUUGGUUCUAAGAUAAGAAUAAUGAUUAAUAGGGACAGUUGGGGGCAUUUGUAUUUAACAGUCAGAGGUGAAAUUCUUAGAUUUGUUAAAGACAAACUAAUGCGAAAGCAUUUGCCAAGGAUGUUUUCAUUAAUCAAGAACGAAAGUUAGGGGAUCGAAGACGAUCAGAUACCGUCGUAGUCUUAACCAUAAACUAUGCCAACUAGAGAUUGGAGGUUGUUCCU
rnacentral:rRNA from 1 species